rnacentral:lncRNA from 1 species
GAACUUUUUCACUGAUUCUACAUAGACUCACUCUCAUCAUGAGAAACCACCAUAUUUUCAUUCUUGUAAAGAGAAUCAAUUUCUUCUCUGACAUACUUGUAUCAGUUAUCAAUCUUGAAUAAUACAAACCCCUAUGUUCUGAUCGAGUUCUGACUUAUAAAACUCCCAGGGUUGUUGGGAUUGAACUGAGUGUAAUCACGCCAUUUGAUCAAUAAUACAAACCCCCUUGUUUUUUACCAGAACAUUUUGGCGCCCACCGUGGGGCCCGGUAAAACGAUUCCUGGGCCACACCUACUUUCGAUACGGAGGGAUGCAUCAUUCCUUCCAUGACCAUUCAUUCAAUCCGGUUAGAUUCGUGUUCCAAAUCUGGAUAUUCAUGUUCCUCAUUCAAGGCUAUAAUCACGACCAAUUGAGGAAACUAUCAUCAACAACAGUAUAGACAUCAUCUUCAUAUUGCUCAAAAUCACGAGAAUACUCGCCACCAUCUUCAUACAUAGUGUUUCCGAGGAAGAAAAUCAGGUGUUUGAAUUCCUAUAAUUAUGAUUUUGGCCUAAUGAUUUUUCCUUUACUAAAAAAUCCCAUGCGUUUAUAUAUGCAAAAAGCAGU